rnacentral:rRNA from 1 species
AGCGCAGGUGGUUGUAUAAGUCUGAAGUAAAAGGCAGUGGCUCAACCAUUGUGUGCUUUGGAAACUGUACAACUUGAGUGCAGAAGGGGAGGAGUGGAAUUCCAUGUGUAGCGGUGAAAUGCGUAGAUAUAUGGAGGAACACCGGUGGCGAAAGCGGCUCUCUGGUCUGUAACUGACACUGAGGCUGAAAGCGUGGGGGAGCAAACA